rnacentral:rRNA from 1 species
GGACCGGCAAACGGGUUAGUAACACGUGGACAAUCAACCCCAAAGUCAAGCAUAGCCCGGAGAAAUCCGGGGUAAUUCUUGAUAGUCCUUCUCUGUAUUAGGAGAAAGGUAAAGUUUUAACGCUUUGGGAUGGGUCCGCGUCCUAUCAGCUUGUUGGUGAGGUAAUGGCUCACCAAGGCGAUGACGGGUAGGGGGCGUGAGAGCGUGACCCCCAACAAUGGGACUGAGACACUGCCCAUACACCUACGGGUGGCUGCAGUCGAGAAUCUUCCACAAUGGACGAAAGUCUGAUGGAGCGACGCCGCAUGCAGGAAGACGAUCUAUUUGAUUGUAAACUGCUUUUAUCAGGGAACAAGUUUUUAUUGAGCGUACCUGAAGAAUAAGGGGGGGCUAAUCAUGUGCCAGAAGCAUCGGUAAUACAUGACCCUCAAACGUUGUCCGGAUUUACUGGGCGUAAAGAGUCUUAAGGCGGUUUAGAAAGUCUGUGGUUAAAUCUUUGGGCUUAACCCAAAGGCUGCCAUAGAUACUUCUAAACUAGAGGAUGUCAGAGGUUAGCAGAACGUACGGUGUAGGGGUGGAAUCCGUUGAUAUCGUGCGGAAUACCAAAAGCGAAGGCAACUAACUGGGGCAGUUCUGACGCUGAAUGACGAAAGCUAGGGUAGCGAACAAGAUUAGAUACCUUGGUAGUCCUAGCUGUAAACUAUGGAUACUGGCUGGUGGAAGUGUCGACCCUUUCACUGGCGAAGCUAACGCGUUAAGUAUCCCGCCUGGGAAGUACGCGCGCAAGCGUGAAACUCAAAGGAAUAGACGGGGAGCUACACAAGCGGUGGAUCACGUGGCUUAAUUCGACUCUAAGCGAAAACCUUACCAGGGCUUGACAUCUUAGUGGAAAGCUGGCAGAAACGCCGGCCCUCUUCGGACCGCUAAGACAGGUGUUGCAUGGUUGUUGUCAGCAGGUGCCGUGAGGUGCAUCCUUAAAUGGGGAAACCUGCGAAACCCUUAUCCUAUGUUUUAUUUGUCAUGGGAGACUGCCAGGGCCAACCUGGAGGAAGGCGAGGACAACACCAAAUCAGCAUGACCCUUACGCCCUGGGCCGCACACGUGAUACAAUGGCUGGUACAAUGGGUUGCGAUACCGUAAGGUGGAGCUAAUCCCACCAAAACCAGUCUCAGUUCGGAUUGAGGUCUGCAACUCGACCUCAUGAAGUUGGAAUCGCUAGUAAUCGCAGAACAGCUAUGCUGCGAUGAAUAUGUCACUUGCUCUUGUACUCACUGCCCGUCACGCCAGAGAAGCUGGGAACACCCGAAGCGCCUCGCAAGGGGAACUAAGGUGGAUUCAGUAACUAGGGCGAAGUCGUAACAAGGCA